AUGUUUGCUAUUCUGAACUUCUACUCUUUUGACCUCUUUGCUGGAUGCAACUAAGGGCGAUAACCUGCUUCCUGCUGACACUGAGGAUUAUAUCCAUAUAAGAAUUUAAUAAAGAAAUGGCAGGAAGACCAUUACUACUGUCCAAGGAAUUGCUGAUGACUACCAUAAAAAGAAACUAAAAAAGAAACUAGUGAAGGCAUUCAAGAAGAAAUUUGCCUGGUACUGCAAUAGAGCAUCCAGAAUAUGGAGAACUAAUUAAGCUACAGACUGACCCGUGCAAGAACCUAUGCCAGUUCCUUGCAGAGAUCGCACUGGCCAAGGACAAUCAGCUGAAGGUUCAUGGGUUCUAA
rnacentral:lncRNA from 1 species